AUAACGGUCCUAAGGUAGCGAAAUUCCUUGUCAGGUAAGUUCUGACCCGCACGAAUGGCGUAAUGAUUUGGGCACUGUCUCAACAGCCCGCCCGGCGAAAUUGUAGUACUGGUGAAGAUGCCAGUUACCCGCAACUAGACGGAAAGACCCCAUGGAGCUUUACUGCAGCUUAAUACUGGAAAUCGGUAAUUCAUGUACAGGAUAGGUGGGAGACGGAGAAGCAUGGUCGUCAGGUCGUGUGGAGUCGUCCUUGGGAUACCACUCUUGGAUUGCUGAUUUUCUAACCUGCGGCCGUGAAUCCGGUCGGGGGACACUGUUAGGCGGGCAGUUUGACUGGGGCGGUCGCCUCCAAAAGAGUAACGGAGGCGCUCAAAGGUUCGUUCAGCACGGAUGGAAAUCGUGCACUGAGUGUAAACGCAUAAACGAGCCUAACUGCGAGAAUGACGGUUCGAGCAGUAACGAAAGUUGGAGUUAGUGAUCCGGCGGUAUGUGAAUGGAAAUGCCGUCGCUCAACGGAUAAAAGCUACCCUGGGGAUAACAGGCUGAUCUCCCCCAAGAGUCCACAUCGACGGGGAGGUUUGGCACCUCGAUGUCGGCUCAUCGCAUCCUGGGGCUGUAUUCGGUCCCAAGGGUUUGGCUGUUCGCCAAUUAAAGCGGUACGCGAGCUGGGUUCAGAACGUCGUGAGACAGUUCGGUCCCUAUCUGUUGCGGGCGCAGGAAUAUUGAGAGGAGCUGUCCUUAGUACGAGAGGACCGGGAUGGACGUACCGCUGGUGCACCAGUUGUUCUGCCAAGGGCAUAGCUGGGUAGCUAAGUACGGACGAGAUAAACGCUGAAGGCAUCUAAGCGUGAAACUCCCCUCGAGAUAAGUGUUCCCAUCCUUCGGGAGUAAGGCCCCUUGUAGACUACAAGGUUGAUAGGUCAGGAGUGGAAGUGCAGUAAUGUAUGGAGCGGACUGAUACUAAUAGGCCGAGGGCUUGACCUA
rnacentral:rRNA from 1 species